rnacentral:rRNA from 1 species
UACGAAGGGGGCUAGCGUUGUUCGGAAUUACUGGGCGUAAAGCGCGCGCAGGCGGCUAUCCAAGUCAGUGGUGAAAGCCCGGAGCUCAACUCCGGAACUGCCAUUGAAACUGUUUAGCUUGAGGAUGAGAGAGGUGAGUGGAAUUCCCAGUGUAGAGGUGAAAUUCGUAGAUAUUGGGAAGAACACCGGUGGCGAAGGCGGGUCUCUGGGCCGAUAUUGACGCUGAGGAGCGAAAGCGUGGGGAGCGAACAGG